UACAGAGGGGGCAAGCGUUGUUCGGAAUUACUGGGCGUAAAGCGCACGUAGGCGGAUUUGUUAGUCAGGGGUGAAAUCCCGGGGCUCAACCUCGGAACUGCCUUUGAUACUGCAAAUCUCGAGUCCGAUAGAGGUGGGUGGAAUUCCUAGUGUAGAGGUGAAAUUCGUAGAUAUUAGGAAGAACACCGGUGGCGAAGGCGGCCCACUGGAUCGGUACUGACGCUGAGGUGCGAAAGCGUGGGGAGCAAACAGG
rnacentral:rRNA from 1 species